rnacentral:rRNA from 1 species
GCAUGGUUGUCGUCAGCUCGUGUCGUGAGAUGUUGGGUUAAGUCCCGCAACGAGCGCAACCCUUAUAUCUAGUUACCAGCAGUAAGAUGGGGACUCUAGAUAGACUGCCAUUGAUAAAAUGGAGGAAGGUGGGGAUGACGUCAAAUCAUCAUGCCCUAUAUGACCUGGGCUACAAACGUGCUACAAUGGCUGAAACAAAGAGAAGCGAGAGGGUGACCUUAAGCAAACCUCAUAAAAGCAGUCUCAGUUCGGAUUGAAGUCUGCAACUCGACUUCAUGAAGAUGGAAUCGCUAGUAAUCGCGAAUCAGAAUGUCGCGGUGAAUACGUUCUCGGGCUUUGUACACACCGCCCGUCAAACCAUGAGAGUUUGUAAUACCCGAAGCCGGUGGCCUAACGAAAGAGGGAGCCGUCUAAGGUAGGACAGAUGAUUGGGGUUAAGUCGUAACAAGGUAUCCCUACGAGAACGUGCGGCUGGAUCACCUC